UGCGUAGGUGGCGCUGUAAGUGGGGUGUGAAAUCCCGGGGCUUAACCCCGGGACUGCAUUCCAUACUGCGGUGCUUGAGGACUGGAGAGGAGACUGGAAUUUACGGUGUAGCAGUGAAAUGCGUAGAGAUCGUAAGGAAGACCAGUGGCGAAGGCGGGUCUCUGGACAGUUCCUGACACUGAGGCACGAAGGCCAGGGAGGCAAACG
rnacentral:rRNA from 1 species